rnacentral:rRNA from 1 species
AACGAACGCUGGCGGCAUGCCUAACACAUGCAAGUCGAACGAGACCUUCGGGUCUAGUGGCGCACGGGUGCGUAACGCGUGGGAACCUGCCCGUAGGUUCGGAAUAACUCCCCGAAAGGGGUGCUAAUACCGGAUAAUGUCUUCGGACCAAAGAUUUAUCGCCUUUGGAUGGGCCCGCGUUGGAUUAGCUAGUUGGUAGGGUAAAAGCCUACCAAGGCGACGAUCCAUAGCUGGUCUGAGAGGAUGAUCCGCCACACUGGGACUGAGACACGGCCCAGACUCCUACGGGAGGCAGCAGUGGGGAAUAUUGGACAAUGGGCGAAAGCCUGAUCCAGCAAUGCCGCGUGAGUGAUGAAGGCCUUAGGGUUGUAAAGCUCUUUUACCCGGGAUGAUAAUGACAGUACCGGGAGAAUAAGCUCCGGCUAACUCCGUG